AUGUGCCGUAUGUGUCUGCAAAGAACUAUCAACCAUAUCCUACACCUCUCCCACCUUGACCACACAAUCUGCCUCACAAUGUCUUCUUUCUCCUUGCGAACGCCGCAAGAAAGCGGUGCCAAAAUCAACCGGGAGCUCUACCAGAAGUUCACCAACGUGGUGUCCUCCUUGCCCUGCUCCCCGGCUCUCACCAGGCACCCGCUCUACCGCCAUGACAGUGGCUGGUAUGCCCCUCUAGCGCCAAUGGUCUCCACAAUGGUUGCGGACGCAUGCUUCUCGGCGCAUCCCUGGGACAUCGUCAUUGCCACAAUGCCGAAGUCCUGCACAACGUGGAUAAAAGCAAUGCUUUACUCCAUGGUGCACAGAAGGGAGCACCCCACAGAUCGGGGACUGGGAGAACUAUCUGUCGCCAGAGACGGCAAGGACGAUCAACGCAUUACCGAGGCCGGGUUCAAGGGUUCUGGCCUCCGUGUGUAG
rnacentral:rRNA from 1 species